ACCUGACUGCUAUCGGAUUGAUACUAAGCCAUGCGAGUCAUUGUAGUAAUACAAGGCAGACGGCUCAGUAACGCGUAGUCAACCUAACCUAUGGACGGGAAUAACCUCGGGAAACUGAGAAUAAUGCCCGAUAGAACACUAUACCUGGAAUGGUUUGUGUUCCAAAUGAUUUAUCGCCAUAGGAUGGGACUGCGGCCUAUCAGUUUGUUGGUGAGGUAAUGGCCCACCAAGACUAUUACAGGUACGGGCUCUGAGAGGAGUAGCCCGGAGAUGGGUACUGAGACACGGACCCAGGCCCUAUGGGGCGCAGCAGGCGAGAAAACUUUGCAAUGUGCGAAAGCACGACAAGGUUAAUCCGAGUGAUUUCUGCUAAAGAGAUCUUUUGUUAGUCCUAGAAACACUAACGAAUAAGGGGUGGGCAAGUUCUGGUGUCAGCCGCCGCGGUAAAACCAGCACCUCAAGUGGUCAGGAUGAUUAUUGGGCCUAAAGCAUCCGUAGCCGGCUCUGUAAGUUUUCGGUUAAAUCUGUACGCUCAACGUACAGGCUGCCGGGAAUACUGCAGAACUAGGGAGUGGGAGAGGUAGACGGUACUCGGUAGGAAGUGGUAAAAUGCUUUGAUCUAUCGAUGACCACCUGUGGCGAAGGCGGUCUACCAGAACACGUCCGACGGUGAGGGAUGAAAGCUGGGGGAGCAAACCGGAUUAGAUACCCGGGUAGUCCCAGCUGUAAACGAUGCAGACUCGAUGAUGCAUUGGCAUAUAGCCAGUGCAGUGUCGCAGGGAAGCCGUUAAGUCUGCCGCCUGGGAAGUACGUACGCAAGUAUGAAACUUAAAGGAAUUGGCGGGGGAGCACCACAAGGGGUGAAGCCUGCGGUUC
rnacentral:rRNA from 1 species